UUUAAUUAUUUGGUGCUUCCUGCCAUGUACAUUUUCAAUUUAAAGUGAGGCUACGUCAACCCCUGGCAAGGCUUGUGCCCCACAUGAUAGCAACCAGCCAAGCACCUGCUUCUAGAAGCAAUCUGUGGACAGAGCUUGCAAAGGUCCAUGAGAUCACUAUUGCAAACCGGGGAGAGGUCAAGGCAAGAGGAAGUAUCUUGGGUGGAUUGGAGCAAUUUUCCCCUCCCACAAAUCCUCUGGCUGGAAAGUCCAGGCAGGGAGUGAUGACAGAAGCCAGGCACAGACCACAUUCCUGCCACAGAGGCAAGGUUUCACUCUCACCCAGACUGGAGUGCAGUGGCGCAAUCAUAGCUCACUGA
rnacentral:lncRNA from 1 species